GUUCGGAUUGCAGUCUGCAACUCGACUGCAUGAAGCUGGAAUCGCUAGUAAUCGCGAAUCAGAAUGUCGCGGUGAAUACGUUCCCGGGCCUUGUACACACCGCCCGUCACACCAUGGGAGUUGGAAGCACCCGAAGUCGGUGGCCUGACCGAAAGGGAGGAGCCGCCGAAGGUGAAGCCAGCGACUGGGGUGAAGUCGUAACAAGGUACC
rnacentral:rRNA from 1 species